rnacentral:lncRNA from 1 species
CAUUGAUGCAGAGGUAUUCUUUGCAGCAUGAGAUGGUGCAUUCUCAUGCAUGAAGAUGAUUUUAUUACGGAAAGUAUAGCUCUUCCUUCUGUACCAAGGAAGAAAGUGGUCAGUCAGAAACUCCACAUACUUUGCAGAGGUCAUCUUUAUACCUUCGGGGAACCUAAAGGGGCCGACCAGCUCUCUUCCCAUGAUUCCGGCGCAAAGCAUGACUCCACCACCGCCUUGCUGACGUCGCAGCCUUGUUGGAACAGGGUGGCCGUCCACCAACCAUCCAGUACUUCAUCAAUCUGGACCAUCCAGGGUUGCACAGCACUCAACAGUGGAUAGGACUGUUUGAAAAUUAGUCUUCAUGUAUUUUUCUGCCCAAUGCAGCCAUUUCUGCUUGUGAGAAUU